rnacentral:tRNA from 1 species
GCCUCCAAGGUGUCCAGAAUGUGGACUGUGAUGCAAUCCCGAGGUUGCAGGUUCGAGUCCUGUCGGAGGCG